rnacentral:rRNA from 1 species
GAUGAACGCUGGCGGCGUGCCUAAUACAUGCAAGUCGAGCGAACAGACGAGGAGCUUGCUCCUCUGACGUUAGCGGCGGACGGGUGAGUAACACGUGUAUAACCUACCUAUAAGACUGGUAUAACUUCGGGAAACCGGAGCUAAUACCGGAUAAUAUAUUGAACCGCAUGGUUCAAUAGUGAAAGACGGUUUUGCUGUCACUUAUAGAUGGAUCCGCGCCGCAUUAGCUAGUUGGUAAGGUAACGGCUUACCAAGGCGACGAUGCGUAGCCGACCUGAGAGGGUGAUCGGCCACACUGGAACUGAGACACGGUCCAGACUACUACGGGAGGCAGCAGUAGGGAAUCUUCCGCAAUGGGCGAAAGCCUGACGGAGCAACGACGAGUGAGUGAUGAAGGUCUUCGGAUCGUAAAACUCUGUUAUUAGGGAAGAACAAAUGUGUAAGUAACUAUGCACGUCUUGACGGUACCUAAUCAGAAAGCCACGGCUAACUACGUG